AUUUGAGGAGAGAUCUUUAUAUGUAUUAUAUUUACUGGGAGCGGUCUGGGGAGGGAGGAUGCGGCAGCCCACCCAGUGCCUGAGCGGGGCGGAGCAGCCCAGCUCGGCCGAAGCUCAUCUCUGCCGUGGAGACAUCCGAGAUGCAAAAGGCAGAGGCCCGGCCACGUCAGCACGACCACUUCGGGGGCGCCGCAAGGGGACGAGGCGGGGAGCGCGCCGCCGGAGUGCCGGUCGGACCCAUGGAAAUCCCCGCGGGGCUGAUGCUGGAACCGUCCCUUUACACUGUCAAGGCAAUUUUCAUCUUGGACAGCUUUGGGCAGCGACUUUUGGCCAAGUAUUAUGACGACACCUUUCCAUCUAUGAAGGAACAGAAGAGUUUCGAAAGGAAUGUCUUCAACAAGACCCACAAGACUGACAGUGAGAUUGCUUUUUUGGAAGGUCUGACCAUUGUCUAUAAAAGCAGCAUUGAUCUUUUCUUUUAUGUAGUGGGAAGUCCCCAUGAGAAUGAGCUGAUGUUGAUGUCCGUUCUCACCUGUCUCUUUGAAUCUCUCAACCAUAUGCUGCGAAAGAACGUGGAGAAGCGAACCCUGGUGGAAAACAUGGAUGGGGUGUUCCUUGUGGUGGAUGAGAUUGUUGAUGGCGGUGUGAUUUUGGAAAGUGAUGCCCAGCAAGUCAUCCAGAAGCUGAAUUUUAGGACGAUCCCGGAGCCUGCAGCUUAUGGCUUUGUUCUCUUUGAUUACAUCACGGGUAACUCCGAAUACAAUGAAAUUUUGCCCGAGAGGCUCUACAAAUAGCGAACUGUUCUCACAAACAGGAUGCAGGAGUGGAUGACAGCUCUUUAUCUGAACACAGUGUCACUCAGGUUCUGCAGUCUGCCAAAGAACAAAUUAAGUGGUCCUUAUUAAAAUAAAGUCACCCACAGCAAAAGA